rnacentral:rRNA from 1 species
CCUACGGGAGGCUGCAGUAGGGAAUAUUGCUCAAUGGGGGAAACCCUGAAGCAGCAACGCCGCGUGGAGGAUGAAGGUUUUCGGAGUGGAAACUCCUUUUGUUAGAGAAGAAAAUGACGGUACCUAACGAAUAAGCACCGGCUAACUCCGUGCCAGCAGCCGCCGUAAUACGGAGGGUGCAAGCGUGAUCCGGAAUCACUGGGCGUAAAGGGCGCGUAGGCGGGAUAGCAAGUCAGAUGUGAAAUCCUAUGGCUUAACCCUAGAACUGCAUUUGAAACUGUGAUUCUAGAGUAUGGGAGAGGUAGGUGGAAUUCUUGGUGUAGCGGUGAAAUCCGUAGAGAUCACGAGGAAUACUCAUUGCGAAGGCGACCUGCUAGACCAUAACUGACGCUGAUGCGCGAAAGCGUGGGGAGCAAACAGGAUUAGAUACCCCAGUAGUC